UUGUAAUAUCACAACAUGUCCAAUGCAUUCGAUCGUAAAUGCUGUGAACCCACAAAAAACAGCGACGAUUGCCGAAUGCUUAAGCGAAGCUGCCGGUGGAAAAAUAUUGUAAAGAUUGGAGUAUUCAUAAACAUCUGGCAAAUGAUGUAGUCAAGUGAUUUUCUCCCAUGGAAGGAAACCCAAUUUAAUUUUAUAUGAUUACGUAUUCCUUCAUGUGAUACGGAUUACCAUUACAUAUACUCAGCAAACAGGGACGAAAAAUGGAAACUCUUAAACACGAUUCGAACGAGGCCCUCCCACCCUCGGCGACGGAUUUGACACUGAAUAACCCUUACAUUCUCGAAGAAAUACUUACAUAUAGACACAUUCCUUUGAAAACCUGCCGAUUGGUAACUCCAUUCUGUAACGAUAUCAUCUUAUCCAUGCUAACUCCUCGCCUUUGCGUUUCCCUGGUACCAUUAUGCUCAUCGUGCACCUCUUGUUCCAAAAUACUAUCUCAGUAUGAAGAUUUACUACCCUACUUCAAUCAAAAAUUAACACGAAAACUGGUAAUAACCACGUGUUACAACAAAAAUUUCGUGACAACCACAAUGAUUGCCUUUUUCCGCAAAUUUUCCAACUUCAAGAUAUUUAUUUCACGAUGACUCGUGAUUGCAUGAUUCCCCUGGCUGGAGCUCUGCUCGAACACCAGAGAAAUAGGGCCGAAAGGCGAGUUGGCCAUUUAUUUUAAGUAUUUAGUAGCGUUCAAUUAUUAUGGAGAAAUAAUGUAAUAAAGAA